UAACUGUGAUACGUAGUGUGAAUUGCAGAAUUCAGUGAACCAUCGAAACCUUGAACGCACCUUGCGCUCGCGGUCACCCGCGAGCAUGCCUGUUUGAGUGUCGUCUCAAUACUCUCAAAAACCCCCCAGGGGGGCAAGCGAGGAGUCUGGGCGUCAGGGCCUUCCCCCUGUCGCCUGAAAAGCAGCGGAGACCACGACGGCCGCGACCCGUUCAGGGUCCGCCUGGUACCACGGACGUUGCCAGCAUGCCUCACGGCGUGAUCUACGUCCCGGGGUGCCACAGGGCGGGCUUUCCUGCGGGCCUGCGGUCGCCUCUCCCAGAGUCCGCCUAGCGCGACCCAAAUACAACCUGCGACCUCAAAUCAGGCAAGGCUACCCGCUGAAUUUAA
rnacentral:misc_RNA from 1 species